rnacentral:rRNA from 1 species
UACGUAGGGUGCAAGCAUUAAUCGGAUUUAUUGGGCGUAAAGGGCGCGUAGGCGGGAAAGUCAGUCAGAUGUGAAAUCCCGGAGCUCAACUCCGGAACAGCAUUUGAAACUUCUUUUCUAGAGGGUAGGCGGAGAAAACGGAAUUCCACAAGUAGCGGUGAAAUGCGUAGAUAUGUGGAAGAACACCAGUGGCGAAGGCGGUUUUCUAGCUUACACCUGACGCUGAUGCGCGAAAGCAAGGGGAGCAAACAGG